GGGAAGAGCUCAAAUUUAAAAUCUGGCAGUCUCUGGCUGUCCGAGUUGUAAUUUAGAGAAGUGUUGCCCGCGCUGGACCCGUAUACAAGUCCUCUGGAAUGGGGUGUCAUAGAGGGUGAGAAUCCCGUCUUUGAUACGGACUACCAGUGCUUUGUGGUGCGCUCUCGAAGAGUCGAGUUGUUUGGGAAUGCAGCUCAAAAUGGGUGGUAAAUUCCAUCUAAAGCUAAAUACAGGCGAGAGACCGAUAGCGAACAAGUACCGUGAGGGAAAGAUGAAAAGAACUUUGGAAAGAGAGUUAAACAGUACGUGAAAUUGCUGAAAGGGAAACGCUUGAAGUCAGUCGCGUUGUUCAAGAAUCAGCCUUGCUUUCUUGCUUGGUGUACUUUUUGUUCAAUGGGUCAACAUCAGUUUUGACCACUGGAUAAGGGCCAGGGAAAUGUGGCAUCUUUAGAUGUGUUAUAGUCUCUGGUCAUAUACAGUGGUUGGGACUGAGGAACUCAGCAUGCCAAAAGGACGGGUCUUUAAGACUACGUUACAUGCUUAGGAUGUUGGCAUAAUGGCUUUAAUCGACCCGUCU
rnacentral:misc_RNA from 1 species